rnacentral:lncRNA from 1 species
GACACACCCCUAUGCGCAACGCCUGGGGAGAGGAGAUGGGGGCGGGGCUACCAGAGAAGUGGAUGGAGACCAGGAACAGGCAUAUCACAGGAGCGGGCCACAUGCUGCGAGAGAUGGAGAAAAACCACCACUGGAUGUGCCGUUUAGGGCCAUGCCAGCCACUGGCGGCGUUAGCAGUUGUACCAGGUGGAAGACGGAGAGGAUGCGGGCAAGAGAGGAAGGGCGGCUCAUUGCACUGGAUGCUGCCACAGCAUGGCUUGAUGAGUGGUGUGUAGGUCCACACCCAGGAUCUGAACUGGCGAACCCCAGGCCACCGAAGCAGAGCGUGCAAACUUAACCACUGUGCCACUGGGCUGGC